rnacentral:tRNA from 1 species
GCCAGUGUGGUGUAGUGGUUUGUGUGUUGGACUGUGACUCUAAAGACCAGGAUUCAAUUCCCAGCAUAGCCA